rnacentral:rRNA from 1 species
UAGGCUGCAACUCGCCUACACGAAGUUGGAAUUGCUAGUAAUCGUGGAUCAGCAUGCCACGGUGAACACGUUCCCGGGUCUUGUACACACCGCCCGUCACACCAUGGGAGCUGGUAACACCCGAAGUCAGUAGUCUAACCGCAAGGAGGACGCUGCCGAAGGUGGGAUUAGCGACUGGGGUGAAGUCGUAACAAGGUAAC